GACAGAGGGUGCAAACGUUGUCCGGAAUCAUUGGGCGUAAAGCGCGUGUAGGCGGUUUCGUAAGUCUGCUGUGAAAGUCGGAGGCUCAACCUUCGAAAGCCGGUGGAUACUGUGAGACUUGAGUACGGAAGAGGAGAGUGGAAUUCCUGGUGUAGCGGUGAAAUGCGCAGAUAUCAGGAGGAACACCAACGGCGAAGGCAGCUCUCUGGGACGUUACUGACGCUGAGACGCGAAAGCGUGGGGAGCAAACAGG
rnacentral:rRNA from 1 species